CUGUAGAAAAUAAAGAGAGGAUUCUGUCAGAAUCUCUAUUAAAUCUUACAAUGUAUAUGCAUAGAGAAAUAAGACUAUGGAAUUGAAAAAAACCUGAUCUGAUAAAACUAAUUAAUAGAGAUCAACGAAAUUUUUAGGUUCCCAAUCCACUGCAUAUAUUGAACUACUUACAUAGAAUUUUGCAGAGCCAACUUCACUUGAAAACUGUGGAUCCAACAUGCUCAGCACAAGAAAAAAAUUAAAUAUCCUUCAAUUAUACCCCAAUUGGACUAUAUUGAAGACCAAAAUUCCAAACAAGAGAAUAAUGGUUUAUGAAAUGAAAAAAAAAAAAAAUUAGAAGCUGAUGGAUCCUAACAAUUUGGAUAACUUCCAUCAAAAACAUAAUGCUUAAACGUUCAGGAAAUAUUUGCUCUAUCCUCUCAUAAAAGCACUUCGAAAAGAGAAUGUAGACUAGAAAUAAUUAAUGAUUCUACUGUUUAAAUUGGUAAUCUAAUUCAAUUCAGAUGAUGGAUCUCAGUUGACUCUCAGACUUGUUGAGCAAUAAAGUUGUAUAAUAAAUAUUAUUUGGAAAAUUA